UUUAUUGAGAGUUUGAUCCUGGCUCAGGACGAACGCUGGCGGCGUGCCUAACACAUGCAAGUCGAACGGAGCACCCUUGACCGCGGCUUCGGCCAAAGGAUAGGAAUGCUUAGUGGCAGACGGGUGAGUAACGCGUGAGUAACCUGCCCUUGAGAGGGGGAUAACACAUCGAAAGGUGUGCUAAUACCGCAUAACAUAGUGAAACCGCAUGAUUUUGCUAUCAAAGAUUUAUCGCUGAAGGAUGGACUCGCGUCUGAUUAGAUAGUUGGUGAGGUAACGGCUCACCAAGUCGACGAUCAGUAGCCGGACUGAGAGGUUGAACGGCCACAUUGGGACUGAGACACGGCCCAGACUCCUACGGGAGGCAGCAGUG
rnacentral:rRNA from 1 species